rnacentral:rRNA from 1 species
AUCUACAGCCAUGCUACCCUGAACAAGCCCGAUCCCAUCUGAUCUCAGAAGCUAAGCAGGGUCGGGCCUGGUUAGUACUUGGAUAGGAGUCCACCUAGGAAGACCAGGUGCUGUAGGUG